rnacentral:sRNA from 1 species
AGUUUCGGCCGAGGGUGGGCUCCGCGGUCGCCGGUUUCUCUUCCCAGCUCUGCCCUCGCUUGCUGGCCGGUUUCCGGGGUCAGCGCGGGGCCACCAUCCAGCUCCUUGGGGCCCGCCCCAAGCAGCUGUCGAGGACGCACUCAGCCUGCGCAGCCAUGGCCUCGGCAGGGGCGGAGAGGCGGCCGGGGGUCCAGGAGGCGACGGUCGUGGGGCAGGGACAGCUCACGGAGGAGCCCGGCAGCGCUCAGACCUCCGAGUGUCCAGUGGCGGGAGACCAGUUCCUGGUGGCAGCCCAUGAGGCCGGUGGAACCCAGAGUGAAGACCAGCGCCCAGCAGGCGCAGCUUCGGAGACGGAGCUCCAGGAGGAAGGACCCAAGCUGGGGGAGGAGAGGCCCAAGCCGCAUGCCGGGGCGCUGGAGGAGAGAGGCCCCAGGCCCGUGGUCUCCAUUGUGAGACCCCGUCAUGGUCCAAAGAGAAAGCCUGUCAAGUGAGGGGGCUCUCGGGGGGAAGGAGCUGCAGCCCCGGGGUUGGGGGCACACACCACAAUAGGAUUCCUAAAUCCUGCACUCCUGCUGGGAGGAUUCUCGUCCCCAGCCACUACCAUCACUCUCCUCUCCCGUUCCUCGAGCCCCCGUGUAGGGAGCAGCAGGAGAGUGGGAGCUUCAGGGUUUGUAGGGGACUGGGCUCACUGGCCUCUAAGCCUCUUGGGCCUGGAGCCUCAUUGACCAGGAAUGGGACAGGCAUCGAGCCCUGGGGCUGUGGCAGGCUGGGCUAUUCCCUGGGCCAGGGAAUGGGAGCCAGGGCUGGAGCCUGGCUCAAGUCUCUUGUCCCUGGCUCAGGUCCCUCAGCCUCCUGGGCCUUCGUGCCCAUCUUAAGGCUGAAGCUGAACUGCCACCCAGGCUGCCGCUGCAGGAGGAGGAGCCAGAGGGCAGCCAGAGUGAGCCCUCACCAUCUGCCAAACAGCACAAAAAAGCCAAGAAGCGCAAGAGUCUGGGGGCUCCCGUGCUCCACGCUGUGGCCAGCACGGUGUCUGCACCCUUAGAGACAUUGGGGCUGGAGCGUGAGUGGCAGUCCCUGGGCUGUUCCUUCUCCCCCUGCCUGUGGGGCCUGACAUGGCACAACCUGGCGCUCUAGCCUCUGCCCUGCCCUGGGUCUUUGCAGGAAAGGCCCAGCGCCUGCGGCCCCUGUACCAGUACAUCAACUAUUGCAACCCUGAGCUGAACCAGGCAGGGGAGGGGGACAGGGAGGCUGAGGUGGAGGCAGAGGCAGAGCUGGCCCCGGUUCCUGAGGAGGCAGGUGUGGAGCAACUGCAGGCCUUGCUGCCCUUGGCAGGUGAGCUGGGCCCAGGCCUCACUUUGCCCUGUCCCAGUCCACUAGUGACCCCCACCCAUGCUCUGGCUCCCCUCGGAGAGGAGGCUGGAGAGGAGCCUGGGGGCUUGUCCAGCUUGGGGGUGAGUGACCACCACAAGGCCGAGGUGGAUAAGUCAACCCAGGUGGACAUCGACAAGAUGCUGAGUGUCUGCACUGCUCCGCUUGUCCCCCCGCUCUCUCCUCAGUACAAGUGACUGUCCCGCCUCACUGGUGGCUCCCCUUCUUCCACGCCUGAAUUUGGCUUCAGGCUUCCUGUGGGCCUAGGCCCUCUGGUGGCGGGGACAAAUCUGGCACCUGCUCCCACUUGGGACUUUGGUCUUGCUGAAAAUAAAUAUUUUUCUUUUUCAAAGA